GGGAAGAGCCCAAACCAACAAGCUUGCUUGUUGGGGUUGUAGGACACUCUAUACGGAGUUACAAAGGACGACAUUAGACGAAUCAUCUGGAAAGAUGAAUCAAAGAAGGUAAUAAUCCUGUAGUCGAAAAUGUUGUCUCUCUUGAGUGGAUCCUGAGUACGACGGAGCACGUGAAAUUCCGUCGGAAUCUGGGAGGACCAUCUCCUAAGGCUAAAUACUCUCUAGUGACCGAUAGUGAACCAGUACCGUGAGGGAAAGGUGAAAAGCACCCCGGAAGGGGAGUGAAAUAGAACCUGAAACCGUGUGCUUACAAGUAGUCAGAGCCCGUUAAUGGGUGAUGGCGUGCCUUUUGUAGAAUGAACCGGCGAGUUACGAUUUGAUGCAAGGUUAAGCAGUAAAUGUGGAGCCGUAGCGAAAGCGAGUCUGAAUAGGGCGUUUAGUAUUUGGUCGUAGACCCGAAACCAGGUGAUCUACCCUUGGUCAGGUUGAAGUUCAGGUAACACUGAAUGGAGGACCGAACCGACUUACGUUGAAAAGUGAGCGGAUGAACUGAGGGUAGCGGAGAAAUUCCAAUCGAACCUGGAGAUAGCUGGUUCUCUCCGAAAUAGCUUUAGGGCUAGCCUCAAGUGAUGAUUAUUGGAGGUAGAGCACUGUUUGGACGAGGGGCCCCUCUCGGGUUACCGAAUUCAGACAAACUCCGAAUGCCAAUUAAUUUAACUUGGGAGUCAGAACAUGGGUGAUAAGGUCCGUGUUCGAAAGGGAAACAGCCCAGACCACCAGCUAAGGU
rnacentral:rRNA from 1 species